GGGUUGUGAGGUUAAGCGACUAAGCGUACACGGUGGAUGCCCUGGCAGUCAGAGGCGAUGAAGGGCGUACUAAUCUGCGAUAAGCGCCGGUAAGGUGAUAUGAACCGUUAUAACCGGCGAUACCCGAAUGGGGAAACCCAGUGUGAUUCGUCACACUAUCAUUAACUGAAUCCAUAGGUUAAUGAGGCGAACCGGGGGAACUGAAACAUCUAAGUACCCCGAGGAAAAGAAAUCAACCGAGAUUCCCCCAGUAGCGGCGAGCGAACGGGGAGGAGCCCAGAGCCUGAAUCAGCAUGUGUGUUAGUGGAAGCGUCUGGAAAGGCGCGCGAUACAGGGUGACAGCCCCGUACACAAAAGCGCAUGUGCUGUGAGCUCGAUGAGUAGGGCGGGACACGUGGUAUCCUGUCUGAAUAUGGGGGGACCAUCCUCCAAGGCUAAAUACUCCUGACUGACCGAUAGUGAACCAGUACCGUGAGGGAAAGGCGAAAAGAACCCCGGCGAGGGGAGUGAAAAAGAACCUGAAACCGUGUACGUACAAGCAGUGGGAGCACCCUUUGGGUGUGACUGCGUACCUUUUGUAUAAUGGGUCAGCGACUUAUAUUCUGUAGCAAGGUUAACCGAAUAGGGGAGCCGGAGGGAAACCGAGUCUUAACCGGGCGUUAAGUUGCAGGGUAUAGACCCGAAACCCGGUGAUCUAGCCAUGGGCAGGUUGAAGGUUGGGUAACACUAACUGGAGGACCGAACCGACUAAUGUUGAAAAAUUAGCGGAUGACCUGUGGCUGGGGGUGAAAGGCCAAUCAAACCGGGAGAUAGCUGGUUCUCCCCGAAAGCUAUUUAGGUAGCGCCUCGUGAAUUCAUCUCCGGGGGUAGAGCACUGUUUCGGCUAGGGGGCCAUCCCGGCUUACCAACCCGAUGCAAACUGCGAAUACCGGAGAAUGUUAUCACGGGAGACACACGGCGGGUGCUAACGUCCGUCGUGAAGAGGGAAACAACCCAGACCGCCAGCUAAGGUCCCAAAGUCAUGGUUAAGUGGGAAACGAUGUGGGAAGGCCCAGACAGCCAGGAUGUUGGCUUAGAAGCAGCCAUCAUUUAAAGAAAGCGUAAUAGCUCACUGGUCGAGUCGGCCUGCGCGGAAGAUGUAACGGGGCUAAACCAUGCACCGAAGCUGCGGCAGCGACACUGUGUGUUGUUGGGUAGGGGAGCGUUCUGUAAG
rnacentral:rRNA from 1 species